rnacentral:ncRNA from 1 species
UUUAUUGCGAAUUCAUUAGGUACUCUUUAGGAGUUUAAUAGGGAAGUUCGGUGAAAGUCCGACACAGCCCCCGCUACUGUAAGUGAGGAUGAAAUCGACCAUAUGUCACUUGUAUGCUACAGGGAAGACGUCGAGAGUAAAGGGAUUCACGAGUCAGGAGACCUGCCUAAUGAUGCACUCACUG